AAUUUUAAGAGUUUGAUCCUGGCUCAGGAUGAACGCUGGCGGUGUGCCUGAGAUAUGCAAGUCGAGCGGGUUCUAGACGCAAGUCUGGGAUCAGCGGCGGACGGCUGAGUAACACGUAGGAACUUCCCCCUAGGCAAGGAAUAGCUCACCGAAAGGUGGGGUAAUUCUUUAUAGUUCCCGCCUCUGGCGGGAUAAAGAGCUUAACUGCUCACCAAGGGAUGGUCCUGCGGCCUAU
rnacentral:ncRNA from 1 species